rnacentral:ncRNA from 1 species
UUAAAAGCAAUGAAGAGAACAGUAAAUCAUCUGAAUUCUUGAACAGAGAGCCCCGUAGCUGAAAAAGGGUAAGCAUUCACUGAUUGAAACAAGUCUCUGAGCCUCACAUGGGAACCUUGAAUUUUAGGGGGAUGGUGUGACGGAUGCUCCCGUUAACGAGCUACAGUAUAAGCAUGAAAUAUAUGCCGUACUUGAAAAGGUUCUGAUGGUGACAUCAGAACAAACUGGGGUGGUACCACGACAUGUCAAUCUCGUCCCCAAG